rnacentral:rRNA from 1 species
CGGAACACGUACAGAACCUUCCUUUAAGUGGGGCAUAGCCCGAAGAAAUUCGGAUUAAUACCCCGUAACAUUAUGUUGUGGCAUCACAUUAUAAUUAUAGAUUUAUCGCUUAGAGAUGGCUGUGCGGCUGAUUAGGUAGUUGGCGGGGUAAAGGCCCACCAAGCCUUCGAUCAGUAACUGGUGUGAGAGCACGACCAGUCACACGGGCACUGAGACACGGGCCCG